UAUACUUGAAACUGCGAAUAGCUCAUUAAAUCAGUUAUAGUUUAUUUGAUGGUGCCUUACUACAUGGAUACCCGUAGUAAUUCUAGAGCUAAUACAUGCCAAAAAAACCCAACCGCAAGGGCGGGUUGUAUUUAUUAGAUAAAAACCAUUACUCGCAAGAGUUUUUGUGGUGAUUCAUAAUAACUGUUCGAAUCGCAUGCCGCAAGGCGGCGAUAGAUCAUUCAAAUUUCUGCCCUAUCAGCUCUCGACGGUAGUGUAGUGGACUACCGUGGCAUUAACGGGUAACGGAGAAUUAGGGUUCGAUUCCGGAGAGGGAGCCUGAGAAACGGCUACCACAUCCAAGGAAGGCAGCAGGCGCGCAAAUUACCCAAUCCUGAUACAGGGAGGUAGUGACAAAAAAUAACAAUACCGGGCGUUUUACGUCUGGUAAUUGGAAUGAGUACAAUUUAAAUCCCUUAACGAGGAUCAAUUGGAGGGCAAGUCUGGUGCCAGCAGCCGCGGUAAUUCCAGCUCCAAUAGCGUAUAUUAAAGUUGUUGCAGUUAAAAAGCUCGUAGUUGGAUUUCUGGUAUGGUGCGCCUGGCCCACGGUUGCAAAACCGCGAGUGUCGGUGUGCGCCUGCCAUCUUUCUAGUUAACUGGACGCACUUAACUGGGCGGUCAGCGAUCUAGAUCUUUUACUUUGAAAAAAUUAGAGUGUUUAAAGCAGGCUUGCGCUAUGAAUACAUUAGCAUGGAAUAAUAAUUUAGGACUUUAUUCCUAUUUAUUGGUUUCUGGAGUAGAGUAAUGAUUGAUAGGGAUAGUUGGGGGUGCUAGUAUUCAUCGGCCAGAGGUGAAAUUCUUGGAUUCGAUGAAGACUAACUAAUGCGAAAGCAUUCACCAAGGAUGUCUUCUUUAAUCAAGAACGAAAGUUGGGGGAUCGAAGACGAUCAGAUACCGUCGUAGUCUCAACCAUAAACUAUACCGACUAGGGAUUAGUGGAAGUUGCUUUUUCGACUCCAUUAGCAC
rnacentral:rRNA from 1 species